rnacentral:tRNA from 1 species
GUAGCUCAGUCGGGUGAGCGCCCGCUUCUCACGCAAGAGAUGCGGGUUCGAAUCCCGGCGCUGACA